UACAUAAAAGGAUAUGUAUGAAUAUUCAAAAUGACAUAUGGAAAACUAAAUUUAAAUGUCCAGAAAAGUGGCAGUGUUGGUGUUCAGCAGUGUCUGAUGUACGUUGUGAAAAUGUGUGUUGAGCAAUGCGAGUUGCAUCCAACUCAUAUUUACCUGGCAUGGGAGAUACAAUGAUCAACCUAAUGAUCCAGAAUGUGUGAAAACAUCAAAGGGCGAUGACAUCACAUCAAUGGACCAUGACAUCACAUCAAGGGACGAAGACAUCACAUCAAGGGACGAAGACAUCACAUCAAAGGACGAUGACAUCACUGUAAUACAUCAAAGUAUAUGUAUGAAUAUU